UACGGAGGAUGCGAGCGUUAUCCGGAUUUAUUGGGUUUAAAGGGUGCGCAGGCGGAGGUGCAAGUCAGCGGUCAAAUUGAGGGGCUCAACCCCUUCCCGCCAUUGAAACUGGGGUUCUUGAGUGAGCGAGAAGUAUGCGGAAUGCGUGGUGUAGCGGUGAAAUGCAUAGAUAUCACGCAGAACCCCGAUUGCGAAGGCAGCAUACCGGCGCUCAACUGACGCUGAGGCACGAAAGUGCGGGUAUCGAACAGG
rnacentral:rRNA from 1 species